CAUGUUUGAAUGGCAUGGCUUGUGAUAAUGUAUAGCAUUAUGUGAAUGAAUGUUGAUUUUCUUUAGGUUUUGCAGGGCUACUUUAGGCACUAUGAAGGAAUGAGGUCUUGGUCAUGGCAUGGUAUGUUUAGGUGCGUGGAGGCUUCAAACAUCAAAAGGCCAAGUUCAUGCACAUACUUAAAGCAAGGCAAAGUCAAUAGAUCAAAGUGUGGAAUCAAAACAUGGACCAUCAUCAUGAAGAAACUUGAAGACCAAGAUGAAGUGGCUUAUGGAAGAGUAAAGAGGGGGGAAUUAGGGUCUAGGACUAGGUACUUUGACUUUGAUCAAUUGUUGACCAAAAAUUCAACAGUUGACCAAAAGUCAACCCUAGGUUAAUUGGUGUAAAUUUGUGUAGAAUUUGAUUUUUUUGAGGUUGUAAUGAAUAUUUGAAUGUGUGUGUGAUGAAAUGGCCUUUGAAAUGCAAAUGUGACUUGUUU
rnacentral:lncRNA from 1 species